GCUGGCGGCAUGCCUUACACAUGCAAGUCGAACGGUAACGCGGGGGCAACCCUGGCGACGAGUGGCGAACGGGUGAGUAAUACAUCGGAACAUAUCCUGUAGCGGGGGAUAACCUGUCGAAAGAUAGGCUAAUACCGCAUACGAUCUACGGAUGAAAGCGGGGGACCGCAAGGCCUCGCACUAUAGGAGUGGCCGAUGUCGGAUUAGCUAGUUGGUGAGGUAAAGGCUUACCAAGGCGACGAUCCGUAGCUGGUCUGAGAGGACGAUCAGCCACACUGGAACUGAGACACGGUCCAGACUCCUACGGGAGGCAGCAGUGGGGAAUUUUGGACAAUGGGCGCAAGCCUGAUCCAGCCAUGCCGCGUGAGUGAAGAAGGCCUUCGGGUUGUAAAGCUCUUUCGGCGGGGACGAAACGGAUCGCACUAACACUGCGGACUAAUGACGGUACCCGCAUAAGAAGCACCGGCUAACUACGUGCCAGCAGCCGCGGUAAUACGUAGGGUGCAGGCGUUAAUCGGAAUUACUGCGCGUAAAGCGUGCGCAGGCGGUCUGUUAAGACAGGUGUGAAAUCCCCGAGCUCAGCUUGGGAAUUGUGCUUGUAACUGGCACGCUAAAGUGUGACAAAAGGGGGUGGGAAUUCCACGUGUAGCAGGAAAAUGCGUAGAUAUGUGGAAGAACACCGAUGGCGAAGGCAGCCCCCUGGGUUAACACUGACGCUCAGGCACGAAAGCGUGGGGAGCAAACAGGAUUAGAUACCCUGGUAGUCCACGCCCUAAACUAUGUCAACUAGUUGUCGGGGAAGAAAUUCCUUGGUAACGAAGCUAACGCGUGAAGUUGACCGCCUGGGGAGUACGGCCGCAAGGUUAAAACCCAAAGGAAUUGACGGGGACCCGCACAAGCGGUGGAUUAUGUGGAUUAAUUCGAUGCAACGCGAAAAACCUUACCUACCCUUGACAUGCCAAGAACCUCGCAGAGAUGUGAGGGUGCCCGAAAGGGAACCUGGACACAGGUGCUGCAUGGCUGUCGUCAGCUCGUGUCGUGAGAUGUUGGGUUAAGUCCCGCAACGAGCGCAACCCUUGCCAUUAGUUGCGACAUUUAGUUGAGCACUCUAAUGGGACCGCCGGUGACAAACCGGAGGAAGGUGGGGAUGACGUCAAGUCCUCAUGGCCCUUAUGGGUAGGGCUUCACACGUAAUACAAUGGUCGGUACAGAGGGCUGCCAACCCGCGAGGGGGAGCUAAUCCCAGAAAGCCGAUCGUAGUCCGGAUUGUAGUCUGCAACUCGACUGCAUGAAGCCGGAAUCGCUAGUAAUCGCGGACCAGCAUGUCGCGGUGAAUACGUUCCCGGGUCUUGUACACACCGCCCGUCACACCAUGGGAGUGGGUUCCACCAGAAGUAGUUAGCCUAACCGCAAGGAGGGCGAUUACCACGGUGAGAUUCAUGACUGG
rnacentral:rRNA from 1 species